rnacentral:rRNA from 1 species
GACGAACGCUGGCGGCGUGCUUAACACAUGCAAGUCGAACGGAAAGGCCCUGCUUUUGUGGGGGGCUCGAGUGGCGAACGGGUGGGUAACGCAAGAGUAGCCUGCCCUGGACUUUGGGAUAACUUAAGGAAACGGGGGCGAAUACCGGAUAGGAGCUCCUGCUGCAGGGGGGGGGUGGGAAAGGGUCGGCGGUUGGGGCUGGAUGGGAGGCGUAUGAGCUUGUUGGGGGGGUAGGUGCUUACCAAGGCUUUGACGGGUAGCCGGCCUGAGAGGGAGUGCGGCCACAUGGGGACUGAUACACGGCCCAGACGCCGACGGGAGUCAGCAGUGGGGAAUAUUGCACAAUGGGGGGAAGGCGGAUGCAGCAACGCCGCGCGCGGGAUGACGGCCUUCGGGUUGUAAACCGCUUCCGCCUGGGACGAAGCGUGAGUGACGGUAAUGGGUAAAGAAGCACCGGCUAACUACGUG